GUUGCUUCUUACAGGUGAACUCUCUCUCAUAUAGAUGGGGGAUGUUCAUGUUCUGAAGCAUAUAUUAAUGAGUCUAAUUCGUCUUUGCCAGUUUUAAGCAGCGCUGUGUUAUCCUUUGUUGCACUGUGCUACCUGUCUGCUGGUAUAUAG